rnacentral:rRNA from 1 species
GAUUAACGCUGGCGGCGUGCAUAACACAUGCAAGUCGAACGAUGAAACUUAACUGAUUUCUUCGGCAUGAUUUUAAGUGGAUUAGUGGCGUACGGGUGAGUAACGCGUGAGUAACCUGCCUUGGAGAAGGGGAUAGCCUUUGGAAACGAAGAAUAAUACCCUAUGAUAUGAUAAUAUCUCAUGAUAUUAUCAUGAGAGAUUUAUCGCACGAAGAUGGACUUGCGUAUGAUUAGUUAGUUGGUGAGGUAACAGCCCACCAAGGCAGCGAUCAGUAGCCGGCAUAAGAGAGUCAACGGCAACAUGGGGACUGCGCCACGCCCAAUCCUACUAGAGGAAGCAGCAGUGGAGAAUUCUGAACAAGGGAAGGCAUGACGAUGCAGCGACGCCGGGUGAUUUAGAGGGCAUUGGGGUUGUAAUACUCUUUUGUAUGGGAAGAAAAUGACGGUACCAUACGAAUAAGGACCGGCUAAUUACGUG